rnacentral:rRNA from 1 species
UACGUAGGGUGCAAGCGUUGUCCGGAAUUAUUGGGCGUAAAGAGCUCGUAGGCGGUCUGUCGCGUCUGCUGUGAAAACUCGGGGCUUAACCCCGGGCCUGCAGUGGGUACGGGCAGACUAGAGUGCGGUAGGGGAGACUGGAAUUCCUGGUGUAGCGGUGAAAUGCGCAGAUAUCAGGAGGAACACCGGUGGCGAAGGCGGGUCUCUGGGCCGGUACUGACGCUGAGACGCGAAAGCCAGGGGAGCAAACGGG